GGAAAAGCCUCUAAGCAUCAGGUAACAUCAAAUCGUACCCCAAACCGACACAGGUGGUCAGGUAGAGAAUACCAAGGCGCUUGAGAGAACUCGGGUGAAGGAACUAGGCAAAAUGGUGCCGUAACUUCGGGAGAAGGCACGCUGAUAUGUAGGUGAAGCGACUUGCUCGUGGAGCUGAAAUCAGUCGAAGAUACCAGCUGGCUGCAACUGUUUAUUAAAAACACAGCACUGUGCAAACACGAAAGUGGACGUAUACGGUGUGACGCCUGCCCGGUGCCGGAAGGUUAAUUGAUGGGGUUAGCGGUAACGCGAAGCUCUUGAUCGAAGCCCCGGUAAACGGCGGCCGUAACUAUAACGGUCCUAAGGUAGCGAAAUUCCUUGUCGGGUAAGUUCCGACCUGCACGAAUGGCGUAAUGAUGGCCAGGCUGUCUCCACCCGAGACUCAGUGAAAUUGAACUCGCUGUGAAGAUGCAGUGUACCCGCGGCAAGACGGAAAGACCCCGUGAACCUUUACUAUAGCUUGACACUGAACAUUGAGCCUUGAUGUGUAGGAUAGGUGGGAGGCUUUGAAGUGUGGACGCCAGUCUGCAUGGAGCCGACCUUGAAAUACCACCCUUUAAUGUUUGAUGUUCUAACGUUGGCCCGUAAUCCGGGUUGCGGACAGUGUCUGGUGGGUAGUUUGACUGGGGCGGUCUCCUCCUAAAGAGUAACGGAGGAGCACGAAGGUUGGCUAAUCCUGGUCGGACAUCAGGAGGUUAGUGCAAUGGCAUAAGCCAGCUUGACUGCGAGCGUGACGGCGCGAGCAGGUGCGAAAGCAGGUCAUAGUGAUCCGGUGGUUCUGAAUGGAAGGGCCAUCGCUCAACGGAUAAAAGGUACUCCGGGGAUAACAGGCUGAUACCGCCCAAGAGUUCAUAUCGACGGCGGUGUUUGGCACCUCGAUGUCGGCUCAUCACAUCCUGGGGCUGAAGUAGGUCCCAAGGGUAUGGCUGUUCGCCAUUUAAAGUGGUACGCGAGCUGGGUUUAGAACGUCGUGAGACAGUUCGGUCCCUAUCUGCCGUGGGCGCUGGAGAACUGAGGGGGGCUGCUCCUAGUACGAGAGGACCGGAGUGGACGCAUCACUGGUGUUCGGGUUGUCAUGCCAAUGGCACUGCCCGGUAGCUAAAUGCGGAAGAGAUAAGUGCUGAAAGCAUCUAAGCACGAAACUUGCCCCGAGAUGAGUUCUCCCUGAGACUUAGAGUCUCCUGAAGGAACGUUGAAGACGACGACGUUGAUAGGCCGGGUGUGUAAGCGCAGCGAUGCGUUGAGCUAACCGGUACUAAUGAACCGUGAGGCUUAACCUUACAACGCCGAAG
rnacentral:rRNA from 1 species